rnacentral:rRNA from 1 species
CUGGAGGUAUCAGAAGUGCGAAUGCUGACAUAAGUAACGAUAAAGCGGGUGAAAAGCCCGCUCGCCGGAAGACCAAGGGUUCCUGUCCAACGUUAAUCGGGGCAGGGUGAGUCGACCCCUAAGGCGAGGCCGAAAGGCGUAGUCGAUGGGAAACAGGUUAAUAUUCCUGUACUUGGUGUUACUGCGAAGGGGGGACGGAGAAGGCUAUGUUGGCCGGGCGACGGUUGUCCCGGUUUAAGCGUGUAGGCUGGUUUUCCAGGCAAAUCCGGAAAAUCAAGGCUGAGGCGUGAUGACGAGGCACUACGGUGCUGAAGCGACAAAUGCCCUGCUUCCAGGAAAAGCCUCUAAGCAUCAGGUAACAUCAAAUCGUACCCCAAACCGACACAGGUGGUCAGGUAGAGAAUACCAAGGCGCUUGAGAGAACUCGGGUGAAGGAACUAGGCAAAAUGGUGCCGUAACUUCGGGAGAAGGCACGCUGAUAUGUAGGUGAAGCGACUUGCUCGUGGAGCUGAAAUCAGUCGAAGAUACCAGCUGGCUGCAACUGUUUAUUAAAAACACAGCACUGUGCAAACACGAAAGUGGACGUAUACGGUGUGACGCCUGCCCGGUGCCGGAAGGUUAAUUGAUGGGGUUAGCGGUAACGCGAAGCUCUUGAUCGAAGCCCCGGUAAACGGCGGCCGUAACUAUAACGGUCCUAAGGUAGCGAAAUUCCUUGUCGGGUAAGUUCCGACCUGCACGAAUGGCGUAAUGAUGGCCAGGCUGUCUCCACCCGAGACUCAGUGAAAUUGAACUCGCUGUGAAGAUGCAGUGUACCCGCGGCAAGACGGAAAGACCCCGUGAACCUUUACUAUAGCUUGACACUGAACAUUGAGCCUUGAUGUGUAGGAUAGGUGGGAGGCUUUGAAGUGUGGACGCCAGUCUGCAUGGAGCCGACCUUGAAAUACCACCCUUUAAUGUUUGAUGUUCUAACGUGGGCCCCUUACCGGGGUUGCGGACAGUGUCUGGUGGGUAGUUUGACUGGGGCGGUCUCCUCCUAAAGAGUAACGGAGGAGCACGAAGGUUGGCUAAUCCUGGUCGGACAUCAGGAGGUUAGUGCAAUGGCAUAAGCCAGCUUGACUGCGAGCGUGACGGCGCGAGCAGGUGCGAAAGCAGGUCAUAGUGAUCCGGUGGUUCUGAAUGGAAGGGCCAUCGCUCAACGGAUAAAAGGUACUCCGGGGAUAACAGGCUGAUACCGCCCAAGAGUUCAUAUCGACGGCGGUGUUUGGCACCUCGAUGUCGGCUCAUCACAUCCUGGGGCUGAAGUAGGUCCCAAGGGUAUGGCUGUUCGCCAUUUAAAGUGGUACGCGAGCUGGGUUUAGAACGUCGUGAGACAGUUCGGUCCCUAUCUGCCGUGGGCGCUGGAGAACUGAGGGGGGCUGCUCCUAGUACGAGAGGACCGGAGUGGACGCAUCACUGGUGUUCGGGUUGUCAUGCCAAUGGCACUGCCCGGUAGCUAAAUGCGGAAGAGAUAAGUGCUGAAAGCAUCUAAGCACGAAACUUGCCCCGAGAUGAGUUCUCCCUGACUCCUUGAGAGUCCUGAAGGAACGUUGAAGACGACGACGUUGAUAGGCCGGGUGUGUAAGCGCAGCGAUGCGUUGAGCUAACCGGUACUAAUGAACCGUGAGGCUUAACCUUACAACGCCGAAG